GCGAGGAUUUGUUGCGGAGGAGGA
rnacentral:snRNA from 1 species